CAUGUUUCUGCAGCCAUAGUCUGUCCUGUUGUUUGAGGUCUUCUCGUCAGUUGUGUUUUGCCCAGCUUUUGUUGCGCUAUUUAUAACCAGGUCUAACUUGGUGAAUAUGCAAGCUCCACAGAGUUCCUCAAGGGCAGCUGGGACCAGGGGAAAUGGGUACGGCAACAUGACAGUUUGAGAGUUGAUUGUUCGGUAGUCAAUGCAGGGCCGCAAGCCUCCGUCCUUUUUGAGCCACAAGGAAGAAGCAGGAGGUGGCAGGUGAUUUGGAAGGGCAUAUGAACUGUUGUUGGAGAGCCUCCUUGAUGUAGUCCUCCAUGGCCUUGCGCUCCGGGAUGGACAGCAGGUACACACUACCCUUGGGGAGUGUAGCUGCAGGCAGCAGGUCAAUGGCACAAUCCCACAUUCCAUGAGGGUGAGGUUUACUUGGUGACUGGGAACUUUGACAAGGUGUACAGGAAUGUUGGAAAGACAGUACAGGGAGCAUGUAUCACUCCAUCUGAGAAUCUCACUGGAAUCCCAUCUGACUUCGGGAGAGUGUUGGGAGAGCCAGGGGUGUCCCAGGAUGAUGUCCAUGGUGGGUCCCUACAGUACCACGAAUGAGAUCACCUUGUGAUGGAAACGUCCCAUUUGAAGGAUCACCGGGGAAAAUUUGACCCGCCCAUGCCCUAGCAGUUUUCCUUGGAUGGCCUCGAUCCUCAGUUCCUGGGCUUGUCUCCUCCGGAGCAGGUUAAGACAUCUUAGGAGGGCUUGGGAGAUGAAGGGCGGGUACUGAAACGGAAAUGAUGUGGGGUGAGUAGUUGAACUGUCAGCAAUGGUAAGAUAGAAACAUCUGGCUCAAUUUGGAGAGUACUCACCACUGGGCGUGGGGGGUGAGAGGAGCAGGUCUUAAUGAAAUGCCCCGAUGAACCACAAUAUAGGCAGAGACCAGAUGACAGAUGUCAUGCACGCUCCACGCAUGUGAGACGAUGAGUAUCCACUUGCAUGGGCUCUGGCACUGGAGGACAGGCAGUGGGUGAGGCUGAGAGAUCCUUACGGCUUGUUGCAUAAAGUUUUCUAAACCGACCGUGACGUGGUAGAUGGCUAUUUGUGCUCGAAUGAGCAGAUCCAAACCUGUCGGUAGGUGGUCAGAAGCGCUCCCUCAUUCUAUCCACUGAAUGCCACUAGGGUGCGGAACUGAAGAGUAUAAUCACUUGCCAAAGAAGUCCCUUGAUGCGGGCCCAUGAGCUGAUCGGGAAUGGACAGCGAGCCGUUGGAAAGUCCAAAAACCUCAUUGAAGGGAGCCUUGAAAGCGUCAAAUGAGUUGAUUAUUGUGCUCUGAGAGUUCCAUGUGGUGCAUGCCCAGAGUAGUGAGUGUCCUGACAGCAGGGAGAUUAGGAAGGCUACCUUUGACCUCUCUGUUGCAAAAUUAUGAGGCUGCAUUUCAAUGAACAGAGAGACUUGAAGUAAAA